UGGCAAGUCUCUAAACCUCAGUUCCCUCACCUGUCAAAAGGAUGUGAUGACAUCCAGAUUGAGAGGAGUAGGUGAGAAGAGCAUACAAUGCCUGGCUGGCACAGAUCUGGAGUACACAGGUGGAUUCUUUACCAGCUGAGCUCCCAGAGAAGGCCCGAAGGAACUAUACCCCAGUUUUGAAAAAAAAGAAGUCUAUGAGGAGAGCCGGGUACCUCUGGCAGAAGACUGGGGCUCUAGUCCCUGGAGCAGACUGCCUGACCAGCAGAGGAUGGCAAGCUGACCGGACUCAAAUAGGGGAUUAAGUGAGUACAU